UGGGGAAUUUUGCACAAUGGGGGAAACCCUGAUGCAGCGACGCCGCGUGAUUUAGAAGGCCUUCGGGUUGUAAAAAUCUUUUUUAUGGGAUGAAAAUGACAGUACCAUAAGAAUAAGGUCCGGCUAAAUACGUGCCAGCAGCCGCGGUAAUACGUAUGGACCGAGCGUUGUCCGGAAUCAUUGGGCGUAAAGGGUACGUAGGCGGCCCAGUAAGUUAGAAGUGAAAUAAUAUAGCUCAACUAUAUAAAGCUUUUAAAACUGCUAGGCUUGAGAGAUGGAAGGGAAAGUGGAAUUCCUAGUGUAGCGGUGAAAUGCGCAGAUAUUAGGAAGAACACCGGUGGCGAAGGCGGCCUUCUGGGCCAUAACUGACGCUGAGGAGCGAAAGCUAGGGGAGCGAACAGG
rnacentral:rRNA from 1 species